GACGAACGCUGGCGGCGUGCCUAAUACAUGCAAGUCGAGCGCAGGAAAUCGACGGAACCCUUCGGGGGGAAGUCGACGGAAUGAGCGGCGGACGGGUGAGUAACACGUAAAGAACCUGCCCUCAGGUCUGGGAUAACCACGAGAAAUCGGGGCUAAUGCCGGAUGGGUCAUCGGACCGCAUGGUCCGAGGAUGAAAGGCGCUUCGGCGUCGCCUGGGGAUGGCUUUGCGGUGCAUUAGCUAGUUGGUGGGGUAAUGGCCCACCAAGGCGACGGUGCGUAGGCGGCCGGGGAGGGUGAUCGGCCACACUGGGACUGAGACGCGGCCCAGACUCCUACGGGAGGCAGGAGUAGGGAAUCUUCCACAAUGGACGAAAGUCUGAUGGAGCAACGCCGCGUGAACGAUGAAGGCCUUCGGGUCGUAAAGUUCUGUUGUAAGGGAAGAACAAGUGCCGCAGGCAAUGGCGGCGCCUUGACGGUACCUUGCGAGAAAGCCACGGCUAACUACGUGCCAGCAGCCGCCGCCG
rnacentral:rRNA from 1 species